rnacentral:rRNA from 1 species
UACGGAGGGGGCUAGCGUUGUUCGGAAUUACUGGGCGUAAAGCGCACGUAGGCGGCGAUUUAAGUCAGAGGUGAAAGCCCGGAGCUCAACUCCGGAACUGCCUUUGAGACUGGAUUGCUAGAAUCUUGGAGAGGCGAGUGGAAUUCCGAGUGUAGAGGUGAAAUUCGUAGAUAUUCGGAAGAACACCAGUGGCGAAGGCGGCUCGCUGGACAAGUAUUGACGCUGAGGUGGCGAAAAGCGUGGGGAGCAAACAGG